ensembl:antisense Gm29292 predicted gene 29292
CAGCCUGGGCUCGGCCACGCGCAGAUGAGGGGCUGGAUCCCCGGAUACGAUUGUGCGCCCGGUGCUGGAGGAACAGCUUAGGAAGUCCGCAAGAGGUGGGGUUCUGAGCCCGGCCUGAAGCAGCGCAUCCGCGGAGCGCGAAAGCGAGGGCGCAGCCCACAUGCCGGCGCCCAGCAUCCGAGCGGGCUUCGGAAUCUGGUCUUGCUGGAAAGAGAUGGCUCAGCGGUUAGGAGCACUGACUGCACUUUCAGAGGUCCUGAGUUCAAAUCCCAGCAACCACAUGGUGGCUCACAACUGUCCUGGAACUCACGCUGUAGACCAGGCUGGUCUCGAACUCGGAAAUCUGCCUGCCUCUGCCUCCCAAGUGCUGGAAUUAAAGGCCUGCGCCACCACGCCUGGCUUUUUUUUUUUUUUUAAGUUGUAUUUAUGCUGUCCUCAGACACACCAGGAACUAAAAAACUAGGAAAAACUAAAGGUCCCACCCUGUCUCCCAGUCUUUGGCCACUGGCAUCUUUCUUGAUCGAUCCAAACCAAUGGGCACAGGGACCUUUAACGUUUGGACAUGCAGAUUCCCAAUUAAAUCAAAGCAUUAGAACCAAUCCCCAUCAAAGAGAGACCCUCCUGUUCCCAGACUGUCCAGGACAUGGUGUUCCAAUGCUGAGAGUUCAUAGAUGCUGUUCCAUGAUACCAGGCACUGGCCUGGGGUGCUGCAAGCCACGUGGGGAGACCUGAAGGCACAGACAGGCCUCACAAGAUCCCUGGCUGC